rnacentral:rRNA from 1 species
UGCCAGCAGCCGCGGUAAUACGAGGGGUCCUAGCGUUGCUCGGAAUCAUUGGGCGUAAAGCGGGUGUAGGCGGCUUAGUCAGUCAGAAGUGAAAGCCCUGGGCUCAACCCAGGAAGUGCUUUUGAUACUGCUAAGCUUGAGUAUGGGAGAGGGUAGUAGAAUUCCUGGUGUAGUGGUGAAAUACGUAGAUAUCAGGAGGAAUACCGGUGGCGAAGGCGGCUGCCUGGCCCAAUACUGACGCUCAGACCCGAAAGCGUGGGGAGCAAACAGGAUUAGAUA